ACGGAAGGCAGCAGCUAAGAAUAUUCCGCAAUGGGGGAAACCCUGACGGAGCGACGCCGCGUGGAUGAUGAAGGCCGGAAGGUUGUAAACUCCUUUUAUUACCGAGGAAUAAGCAUUUCAGGGAAUGGGAGUGCGGUGACUGUAGGUAAUGAAUAAGCAACGGCUAAUUACGUGCCAGCAGCCGCGGUAACACGUAAGUUGCGAGCGUUGUUCGGAAUUAUUGGGCGUAAAGGGCAUGUAGGCGGCCGCUCAAGUCUGGAGGGAAAUGCACGGGCUCAACCCGUGAACUGCUUUGGAAACUGGGUGGCUAGAGUCGCCGAGGCGGAGCCGGAAUUCCAGGUGCAGGGGUGAAAUCUGUAGAGAUCUGGAAGAACACCGAUGGCGAAGGCAGGCUUCGAGCGGACGACUGACGCUGAGGUGCGAAGGUGCGGGGAGCAAACAGGAUUAGAUACCCUGGUA
rnacentral:rRNA from 1 species